CUUGACUUAAAAUCAGGCAGUCCUAUUUAGAAUCUGGCUUUUCACUAUCAGCUAUAUGAGCAUGGAGUCAAACAGUUGCAACCUGUCUGAGAGUCAUGAGGAAAUCAGGCAAGAGGAAACGGUGUCGGUAAGAGAAGUGCUCAGGAAUCAUUUCCUUCUGCUCGUGGGGGCAGGGGAUAGGAGUGUGAUGGCAAUGCACACCAUUCCCAUGGCCUCUAAUUCCAGCCCCUUUUUACUUCAUUGAACCCAUGCCCUCCUCCUCUUGGUUGAUGAGAAUUUUGCAAAUGACAAUGUUUGGUUAGCCAUAUUCAUGGACAGGUACAUAUUCUCUUACAGUAUUGCUAAAUGUGUGGGUUGGGUAAGUGUCCUCUUCUGCUAAAAGUGGGCAAGUUUCACAGAGGAAGUUCUCCAUUUCAUAUACCUUAGCUUUACAAGAAAAUAAAAGAGAAAAGCUAUAUAGGCA
rnacentral:lncRNA from 13 species